AUGGCUUUCGGGCUCCUGGGCUUUGUGGUGCUGUGUCUCCUAGGAGCAGGCCCCAUGGAAGCCGAGGUGACCCAGACCCCGAGAUACUUCAUCACAGGGACCGGAAGGCAGUUGACACUGCAUUGUUUUCAGGAUAUGAACCACGACGCUAUGUACUGGUAUCGACAAGACCCAGGGCUGGGUCUCAAGCUGAUCUACUAUUCACGGAACGUUGAGUUUGUUGAGGAUGGAGAUGUCCCUCAUGGCUUCACUGCCUUGCGGAAAGAGAAGAAGAAUUUCCCCCUGACCCUGAAGUCGGCAGGCACCAACCAGACCUCUCUGUACCUCUGUGCCAUCAGUGAAUCCACAGUGCUGCUCAGCCAUCUGCUCUCUGCACCAAAAGGACACCACAAGAGCGAGGAGGCUCCUUCAUGGGGGGCCCACCCCAAGCAGCAGGAAAACUCCCUCCACCAUCAGUGCCCAUAG